rnacentral:rRNA from 1 species
UACGUAGGGAGCAAGCGUUGUCCGGAAUUAUUGGGCGUAAAGAGCUCGUAGGCGGUUUGUCGCGUCUGCCGUGAAAGUCCGGGGCUCAACUCCGGAUCUGCGGUGGGUACGGGCAGACUAGAGUGAUGUAGGGGAGACUGGAAUUCCUGGUGUAGCGGUGAAAUGCGCAGAUAUCAGGAGGAACACCGAUGGCGAAGGCAGGUCUCUGGGCUGACACUGACGCUCAUGCACGAAAGCGUGGGGAGCAAACAGG